GCCAGGUGUGGUGGUGGACGCCUGUAAUCCCAGCUACUCGGGAGGCUGAGGCAGAAGAAUCCCUUGAACCCAGGAGGCAUAGGUUGCAGUGAGCAGAGAUUGUGCCACUGCACUCCAGCCUGAGUGACAAGAGGGAAACUCUGUCUCAA
ensembl:misc_RNA Metazoa_SRP Metazoan signal recognition particle RNA